rnacentral:rRNA from 1 species
GGAGUGCCAAGUGGGCCACUUUUGGUAAGCAGAACUGGCGCUGUGGGAUGAACCAAACGCCGAGUUAAGGCGCCCGAAUCGACGCUCAUGGGAAACCAUGAAAGGCGUUGGUUGCUUAAGACAGCAGGACGGUGGCCAUGGAAGUCGGAAUCCGCUAAGGAGUGUGUAACAACUCACCUGCCGAAGCAACUAGCCCUGAAAAUGGAUGGCGCUGAAGCGUCGUGCCUAUACUCGGCCGUCNGCACGGCAAUGAGGGGUGCGAGGCUCGUCACUUGUGGCGAGUCCGCCCCGUGAAGCCNUGACGAGUANGAGGGUCGCGGCGGUGAGCGCANAAGGGUCUGGGCGUGAGCCUGCCUGGAGCCGCCGUCGGUGCAGAUCUUGGUGGU